GAUGAACGCUGGCGGCGUGCCUAAUACAUGCAAGUCGAGCGAACGGACGAGAAGCUUGCUUCUCUGAUGUUAGCGGCGGACGGGUGAGUAACACGUGGAUAACCUACCUAUAAGACUGGGAUAACUUCGGGAAACCGGAGCUAAUACCGGAUAAUAUUUUGAACCGCAUGGUUCAAAAGUGAAAGACGGUCUUGCUGUCACUUAUAGAUGGAUCCGCGCUGCAUUAGCUAGUUGGUAAGGUAACGGCUUACCAAGGCAACGAUGCAUAGCCGACCUGAGAGGGGGAUCGGCCACACUGGAGCUGAGACACGGUACAGACUCCUACGGGAGGCAGCAGUAGGGAAUCUUCCGCAAUGGGCGAAAGCCUGACGGAGCAACGCCGCGUGGGUGAUGAAGGUCUUCGGAUCGUAAAACGCUGUUAUUAGGGAAGAACAUAUGUGUAAGUAACUGUGCACAUCUUGACGGUACCUAAUCAGAAAGCCACGGCUAACUACGUG
rnacentral:rRNA from 1 species